GCCUUUUUCAACUGAUUUUUAUAGUUCGUUCUUAUGUUGUACUGUUAUACCACUGUCCCAGGUUAGGAGGAGGGUUGGGAUCCCGCUAACAUGUUUAACCCCGCCACAUUAUUUAUGUAUGUGCCUGUCCCAAGUCAGGAGCCUGUAAUUCAGUGGUUGUCGUUUGUUUAUGUGUUACAUAUUUGUUUUUCGUUCAUUUUUUUUUAC
rnacentral:lncRNA from 1 species